rnacentral:rRNA from 1 species
UACGGGGGGGGGGCAAGCGUUUGUUCGGAAUUACUGGGCGUAAAGGGUGCGUAGGCGGCUUUCUAAGUCGGAUGUGAAAACUCUGGGCUCAACCCAGAGCCUGCAUCUGAAACUGGAGAGCUAGGGUUCUGGAGGGGAAAGGCGGAAUUCCUGGUGUAGCGGUGAAAUGCGUAGAUAUCAGGAGGAACACCGGUGGCGGAAGGCGGCUUUCUGGACAGAUACCGACGCUGAGGCACGAAAGCUAGGGGAGCAAACAGG